GACAAGGUAGUUAUAAAGCGUGGACAGUUGAUAGACGUAUCAAAAAAAGAAACGCAUGUGCAAAACGCUGGGCUGAUAACUCAGAGAUUGGAGGUUCAAAUCCUUCUCUUGUCG
rnacentral:tRNA from 2 species